AGAGUUUGAUCCUGGCUCAGGAUGAACGCUAGCUACAGGCUUAACACAUGCAAGUCGAGGGGAAACGACAUCGAAAGCUUGCUUUUGAUGGGCGUCGACCGGCGCACGGGUGAGUAACGCGUAUCCAACCUGCCCACCACUUGGGGAUAACCUUGCGAAAGUAAGACUGAUACCCAAUGACGUCUCUAGAAGACAUCUGAAAGAGAUUAAAGUAUUUAUCGGUGAUGGAUGGGGAUGCGUCUGAUUAGCUUGUUGGCGGGGUAACGGCCCACCAAGGCGACGAUCAGGUAGGGGUUCUGAGAGGAACGGCCCCCCACAUUGGAACUGAGACACGGUCCAAACUCCUACGGGAGGCAGCA
rnacentral:rRNA from 1 species